GAUGAACGCUAGCGGGAGGCCUAACACAUGCCAGCCGAGCGGUAGAGUCUCUUCGGAGACUUGAGAGCGGCGCACGGGUGCGGAACACGUGUGCAACCUGCCUUUAUCUGGGGGAUAGCCUUUCGAAAGGAAGAUUAAUACCCCAUAAUAUACUGGAUGGCAUCAUCUGGUAUUGAAAACUCCGGUGGAUAGAGAUGGGCACGCGCAAGAUUAGAUAGUUGGUGAGGUAACGGCUCACCAAGUCAGCGAUCUUUAGGGGGCCUGAGAGGGUGAUCCCCCACACUGGUACUGAGACACGGACCAGACUCCUACGGGAGGCAGCAGUGAGGAAUAUUGGACAAUGGGUGAGAGCCUGAUCCAGCCAUCCCGCGUGAAGGACGACGGCCCUAGGGGUGGUAAACUUCUUUUGUAGAGGGAUAAACCUAGAUACGUGUAUCUAGCUGAAGGUACUAUACGAAUAAGCACCGGCUAACUCCGUG
rnacentral:rRNA from 1 species